UGGGGAAUAUUGCACAAUGGAGGGAACUCUGAUGCAGCGACGCCGCGUGAGUGAUGAAGGAAUUCGUUUCGUAAAACUCUGUUCUAUGGGAAGAAAAGGACUGUACCAUAGGAGAAAGCUCCGGCUAAAUACGUGCCAGCAGCCGCGGUAAUACGUAUGGAGCGAGCGUUGUCCGGAAUUAUUGGGCGUAAAGGGUGCGCAGGCGGCUUUACAAGUUGGAUGUGAAAUAUUGUGGCUCAACCACAAACGUGCAUCCAAAACUGCAAAUCUUGAGUUAAGGAGAGGUAAGUGGAAUUCCUGGUGUAGCGGUGGAAUGCGUAGAUAUCAGGAGGAAUACCGGUGGCGAAGGCGACUUACUGGACUUAAACUGACGCUCAGGCACGAAAGCGUGGGGAGCAAACAGG
rnacentral:rRNA from 1 species